CCUACGGGUGGCAGCAGUGAGGAAUAUUGGGCAAUGGGGGCAACCCUGACCCAGCCAUGCCGCGUGAGUGAAGAAGGUCUUCGGAUUGUAAAGCUCUUUCGGACGUGCCGCUGAUGACGGUACCGUCUACAGACGCACCGUCAAACUUCGUGCAAGCAGCCGCGGUACUACGAAGGGAGCCGGCGUUGUUCGGAAUUCCUGGGCGUAAAGGGAGUGUAUGCGGAUAUGUAAGAUAGCGGUGAAAUGCCGGGGCUCAACCCCGGAAGUGCCAUUAUGACUAUGUAUCUAGAGUAAGGGAGAGGAUAGCGGAAGACGCAGUGUAGAGGUGAAAUGCGUAGAUAUUGGGUAGAACACCGGUGGCGAAGGCGGCUAUCUGGCGAUUUACUGACGCUGAGGCUCGAAAGCAUGGGGAUCAAACAGGAUUAGAUACCCCAGUAGUC
rnacentral:rRNA from 1 species